UGGUUUUAACUAUAUACGUUGUAAGUGACAUUUGUAAAAAGACGCCCAUGUCCUUGGAAUCUCUCUUGAGGAGGGAUGGACAGCGAGUGAACAGCCAACUCACACAUAAAUAAUCAGAUGUCAGAGAGUGAUAGACAGCUCAGAAGAAAGCAAACCUGGGCAACAGGAUACAGAGGAACUAGGGCCAGGGCUAUUGCACACAGGCGUGCAUGUAUUCUUAUUUCCCUUUAAAGCUCCUCAAGCUGGAGUCAGCAUCUUCCAUACUCAUCCAGAAACUUCACGAGCGAACACACAAAGAAUGCUGUCAUUCUCCUAAGUAAGCAGACCAGGCAUGUUGACACGAACAAAAGCAUUACAAUUCUGUAUUCUGUGUGUCAUGGAUGAUGAACAAGACCAGGCCAAGAUUCUGAAGUUCUAGACUCAUGGUCCGGCUCUGGUACUACUGAGUUCCUCUACCUUACCUUUUCCUUAGCUCUUUGUGUCCUACCCAGUUUAGAGUUGUUGUGAGGUCAUACUAAUCCUAGUGGGUAAAGUGUGCUGGAGACCACACCGGAAGUGUGGUACUUUAAUAUUCUUUUCCGUGAGAGACAAGGGGCCAGGUGAGACACAUCC
rnacentral:lncRNA from 1 species